rnacentral:rRNA from 1 species
AGUGGCGGACGGGUGAGUAACGCGUGGAUAACCUGCCUCACACUGGGGGAUAACAGUUAGAAAUGACUGCUAAUACCGCAUAAGCGCACAGUGCCGCAUGGCAGUGUGUGAAAAACUCCGGUGGUGUGAGAUGGAUCCGCGUCUGAUUAGCCAGUUGGCGGGGUAACGGCCCACCAAAGCGACGAUCAGUAGCCGACCUGAGAGGGUGACCGGCCACAUUGGGACUGAGACACGGCCCAAACUCCUACGGGAGGCAGCAGUGGGGAAUAUUGCACAAUGGGCGAAAGCCUGAUGCAGCGACGCCGCGUGAGUGAAGAAGUAUUUCGGUAUGUAAAGCUCUACCAGCAGGGAAGAAAAUGACGGUACCUGACUAAGAAGCCCCGGCUAACUACGUGCCAGCAGCCGCGGUAAUACGUAGGGGGCAAGCGUUAUCCGGAUUUACUGGGUGUAAAGGGAGCGUAGACGGCGAAGCAAGUCUGAAGUGAAAACCCAGGGCUCAACCCUGGGACUGCUUUGGAAACUGUUUUGCUAGAGUGUCGGAGAGGUAAGUGGAAUUCCUAGUGUAGCGGUGAAUGCGUAGCUAUUAGGAGGAACACCAGUGGCGAAGGCGGCUUACUG